GCCGGAAUAGCUCAGUUGA
rnacentral:tRNA from 1 species